GACGAACGCUGGCGGCGUGCUUAAUACAUGCAAGUCGAACGGUGAAGCGCCGUCCUUUCUGGUGGGUGGGUAUGAGCGGCGAACGGGUUAGUAACACGAUAGUAACCUUCUCCCUUUUGCUGGAUAACCGGAUGACGGAGUUACUAACACGGGAUAUUUUGGGUCUGUCGCAUGAUGGGUCAGGGAAAGAUAUUGUUUCGGUGGGGGAUGGGCUCGCGCCGUAUUAGCUUGUUGGUGGGGUGAUGGCGUACCAAGGCGGCGAUGGGUAGCCGGCCUGAGAGGGUGGUGGGCCGCCACAGUGGUAAUGCGAGGCGGCGCAGACUCCUACAGGAGGCAGCAGUGGGGAAUACUGCACAAUGGAAGGCAGGAUGAUGCAGCGACGCCGCGUGGAGGAUGGAGGCCUUAGCGUUGUGAACUUCUUUCACGAGUGAAGAAGGCCUGAAUUGUUUGUGGGUGGGUUGACGGUAGCUGGACAGAAAGCGCCGGCUAACUACGUG
rnacentral:rRNA from 1 species